GUAGGUGAACCUGCGGAAGGAUCAUUACCGAGCGAGGGUCUCAUGGCCCAACCUCCAACCCUUGACUACCCACCCGUUGCCUCGGUGGCCCCGGCCGCCGGAGGAUCACCCUGGGCUUGCCCCGGGGUUCAACCCGUCGUCUUGCAGUCUGAGAACUACACAAUAAUCAAAACUUUCAACAACGGAUCUCUUGGUUCUG
rnacentral:misc_RNA from 1 species